GAGAGGGCAUAUCGUGGAUGCCUUGACAUAUUGCAUGGGACGUACUCGACAACGAAACGCCAUGGCGAGCUGUCAUGAUGCUGAGACCCAUGGAUUUCCCUGGAGAAAACUCCAUUGAUUUACAUACACCCAGCCAACUGAAACAUCUAAGUAGCUGGAGGAAAAGACAUCAACCGAGAUUUCGUUAGUAGUGGUGAGCGAACGCGAAAUAGGCCCUGUAUACACAUUAUCCAUAGAAUGUGGACUAAAUAGGUGGAAUCCUAUACCAAAGAGGGUGAGAGUCCCGUUGUUCAUACAUGAAACAUUGGUAUACAGUAUAUGAGUACCACGAACAUCCGAGUUUGUGGGAAUAUAGGGGGACCACCCUCUAAGCCUAAAUAUUGCAAUAUGAUCGAUAGUAUAGAGUACCGUGAGGGAAAGGUGAAAAAGUACCCCGAAAGGGGAGUGAAAUAGAUCCUGAAACGGUGUGCCUACAAGCAGUCGAAGCCCGCUAUGUGUAGUGGGUGACGGCGUACCUUUUGCAUAAUGGGUCAGCGAGUAGAUAGAGCGUGCACGCUUAAGCCAGUAGGUGGAGGCCUAGUCAACGCGAGUUGUCACACAACAUAGACAUGUACGUUCUAUCUGACCCGAAACCAGGUGAUCUCGUUAUGUGCCGGUGGAAGAUCUACUAUCCUAGAUCAGAGGACCUCACUCACGUCUGUGGCAAUAGACGGAGAUGACAUGUGACGAGGGGUGAAAAGCCAAUCGAACCUGGAAAUAGCUGGUUUUCUGCGAAAUCUAUUGAGGUAGAGCCCAUUGUACGAUGUAUGGGGGGUAGAGCACUUUUUGGUGACAGGUGGCCCAAAGCUUGACUGUCUCCAGGAAAACUCCAAAUACCCAUACCAUCAUCAAUGGAGACAGACACAGGGUGCAAAGGUCCUGUGUCGAGAGGGAAACAGCCCAGACCGAACGCUAAGGUUCCCAAACCAUAUCUGAGUGGGAAAGGAAGUUUUCACGCUUUGACAACCAGGAAGUAGGCUUGGAAGCAGCCACCUUAUGAUGAUAGCGUAAUAGCUCACUGGUCGAUGCGUGAAAGCGCCAACAAUGUCACGGAGCUCAAGAUAUGUACCGACGCGGCGGCUUAUAGUCAUGUAUACCACAGUGUGGUAUAUCCAUAGAAACUAUAAGGGUAGCAGAACGUUCUGUAUAUUGUAUGAAGGGGGUAUGUGAAUACCCCUGGAGAUUUCAGAAGUGAGAAUGCUGACAUGAGUAACGACAUAUCCUGUGAAAACCAGGAUCGCCGAAAAUUCCAGGGUUUCUACAGUACGGUAUACGGUGUAGAGUCAAUCGGCCCCUAAGGCAGCCGGUGAACACCGUGGGCUGAUGGGUAGUAUGCACUAUGUGACGACAUCGGGAUGUCUAGAUACUGUUUGUGGAACUCAAUAUCUAGACAGACCAUGUCCAGGAAAUAGCAUAGUGCCAUGCAUAUAACCGUACCCCAAACCAACACAGGUGAAUUGGUGUAAGUGCACUCAGGCGAUGAGAUACGUAUAUUGAAGGAACUCGGCAAAUUGCCUCCGUACCUUUGGAAUAUGGAGGACCAUGCAUAUGCAUGGUGGCACAGUAUAGGGGGUAGCGACUGUUUACUAAAAACACAGGACUCUGCCAAGUGGUAACACGACGUAUAGGGUCUGACACCUGCCCGGUGCUGGAUACCGAACAGGACAGGUUCACGCUUGAAAUCGAAGGUCCAGUAAACGGCGGCCGUAACUCUGACGGUCCUAAGGUAUCGUGUGAUGUUCACAGAUCAACGCAAGCCUUAGUAAAACCAAACUAUAUGCUGGAAACUCCUCCAAAACUUUUCAAUACUCAUAUCAGUAUGAUAUAGUAAAAAUUUGAAAGACAUGGGGACAAUCAGCAGGAAAGACGUAUAGAAUCUAUACGAAUCCCCAGAGACGAUACGUUUGGAAACAUAUGACAAUACAACUACAAACACAAUGGAUUGUAGGUUUUGUGGAUGGUGAAGGAUGUUUUCAUAUUGGUAUUUCAAAACAUCCAGAAUGUACCCUUGGAUAUCAAGUACUUCCAGAAUUUACUGUGGUACAACAUGCUCAAGAUGUACAAGUUCUCUAUGCUCUGAAACAUUUUUUUGGGUGUGGUGUUGUACGUCAACACGGUGCUACAACAUGGUGCUAUCGUGUUCGUCAACGAACACAUUUAGAGACCAUGAUUGUACCAUUUUUUGAAAAGCAUACGCUCAAGACAAAAAAACGUCUUGAUUUUAUUCAAUUUCGAAAAGUACUCAUCUGGAUGCAUCGAGGAGACCAUUUAACAUCAGCAGGUUUAGCACGUAUUCGUGAGACUCAACGUCGUAUGAAUACACGAGCACCUGUACUACAUCGCUACUAAUUCACGUGGAGUAAUUCACGUGGAGUAAUUCACGUGGGGCGUAGCACGUCUAUGUUUAAGAUAGAGUCCACCUCUGUAUGAAAAUACAGGGAGUAUGUGAGCGAAAUUCCUUGUCGGGUAAGUUCCGACGUGCAUGAAUGGUGUCACGACUGCCCCGCUGUCUCCAAUAUACACUCAGUGAAAUUG
rnacentral:rRNA from 1 species